GCAGGCCCGUCUUAGAGGGGAUCCCUGGGGGAAAAGAGACGAGCAUAGGUUCCUCCCAAGAUGCCACCCGCUUCAUUCAAGUGUCUGGCAGCACUGUGUUCCUGUUAGAGCCACCAGCACAAGCACCAGACGAUGCUGAUCCAGGUGAAGGCCCCAGUGCAGCAGCAACAGCACAUGAUGGAGACGAUGAUGAGGAGGAGACCAUCUCUCUGGAUUCCAGAAGGCAUGAGGACCCAGAUGCUAUACAGUGGG